rnacentral:rRNA from 1 species
AAACCAACAGGGAUUGCCUCAGUAACGGCGAGUGAAGCGGCAAAAGCUCAAAUUUGAAAUCUAGCACUUUCAGUGUUCGAGUUGUAUUUUGAAGAAGGUAACUUUGGUUUUGGCUCUUGUCUAUGUUCCUUGGAACAGGACGUCACAGAGGGUGAGAAUCCCGUGCGAUGAGAUGCCCAAUUCCAUGUAAAGUGCUUUCGAAGAGUCGAGUUGUUUGGGAAUGCAGCUCUAAGUGGGUGGUAAAUUCCAUCUAAAGCUAAAUAUUGGCGAGAGACCGAUAGCGAACAAGUACAGUGAUGGAAAGAUGAAAAGAACUUUGAAAAGAGAGUGAAAAAGUACGUGAAAUUGUUGAAAGGGAAGGGCUUGAGAUCAGACUUGGUGCUGUUGUUCAACCAUGUUUCGGCAUGGUGUACUCAGCAGUACUAGGCCAAGGUGGGGUGUUUGGGAGUGAAAAAGAAGUAGGAACGUAACUCUUCGGAGUGUUAUAGCCUACUUUCAUAGCUCCUCAGGCGCCUCAGGACUGCGCUUCGGCAAGGACCUUGGCAUAAUGAUUCUAUACCGC